rnacentral:rRNA from 1 species
CUGGGCGUAAAGAGCUCGUAGGUGGUUUGUCGCGUUGUUCGUGAAAUCUCACGGCUUAACUGUGAGCGUGCGGGCGAUACGGGCAGACUUGAGUACUGCAGGGGAGACUGGAAUUCCUGGUGUAGCGGUGGAAUGCGCAGAUAUCAGGAGGAACACCGGUGGCGAAGGCGGGUCUCUGGGCAGUAACUGACGCUGAGGAGCGAAAGCGUGGGGAGCGAACAGGAUUAGAUACCCUGGUAGUCCACGCCGUAAACGGUGGGUACUAGGUGUGGGUUUCCUUCCUCGGGAUCCGUGCCGUAGCUAACGCAUUAAGUACCCCGCCUGGGGAGUACGGCCGCAAGGCUAAAACUCAAAGAAAUUGACGGGGGCCCGCACAAGCGGCGGAGCAUGUGGAUUAAUUCGAUGCAACGCGAAGAACCUUACCUGGGUUUGACAUGCACAGGACGCCGGCAGAGAUGUCGGUUCCCUUGUGGCCUGUGUGCAGGUGGUGCAUGGCUGUCGUCAGCUCGUGUCGUGAGAUGUUGGGUUAAGUCCCGCAACGAGCGCAACCCUUGUCUCAUGUUGCCAGCGGGUAAUGCCGGGGACUCGUGAGAGACUGCCGGGGUCAACUCGGAGGAAGGUGGGGAUGACGUCAAGUCAUCAUGCCCCUUAUGUCCAGGGCUUCACACAUGCUACAAUGGCCGGUACAAAGGGCUGCGAUGCCGCGAGGUUAAGCGAAUCCUUUUAAAGCCGGUCUCAGUUCGGAUCGGGGUCUGCAACUCGACCCCGUGAAGUCGGAGUCGCUAGUAAUCGCAGAUCAGCAACGCUGCGG